rnacentral:miRNA from 1 species
UUGUGUAAAGGAAACAGUGCA